rnacentral:rRNA from 1 species
UCGAGCGAAUGAUGAGGAAGCUUGCUUUCUCUGAUUUAGCGGCGGACCGGUGAGUAACACGUGGGCAACCUACCUUAUAGUUUGGGAUAACUCCGGGAAACCGGGGCUAAUACCAAAUAAUCUCUUUCACUUCAUGGUGAAAGACUGAAAGACGGUUUUGGCUGUCGCUAUAGGAUGGGCCCGCGGCGCAUUAGCUAGUUGGUGAGGUAACGGCUCACCAAGGCAACGAUGCGUAGCCGACCUGAGAGGGUGAUCGGCCACACUGGGACUGAGACACGGCCCAGACUCCUACGGGAGGCAGCAGUAGGGAAUCUUCCACAAUGGGCGAAAGCCUGAUGGAGCAACGCCGCGUGAGUGAAGAAGGAUUUCGGUUCGUAAAACUCUGUUGUAAGGGAAGAACAAGUACAGUAGUAACUGGCUGUACCUUGACGGUACCUUAUUAGAAAGCCACGGCUAACUACGUGCCAGCAGCCGCGGUAAUACGUAGGUGGCAAGCGUUGUCCGGAAUUAUUGGGCGUAAAGCGCGCGCAGGUGGUUUCUUAAGUCUGAUGUGAAAGCCCACGGCUCAACCGUGGAGGGUCAUUGGAAACUGGGGAACUUGAGUGCAGAAGAGGAUAGUGGAAUUCCAAGUGUAGCGGUGAAAUGCGUAGAGAUUUGGAGGAACACCAGUGGCGAAGGCGACUAUCUGGUC